rnacentral:ncRNA from 1 species
UUAAAAUUUCUUUCGCAUUUUAAUACAUGAAAGAUUGUGAACUAUACUUGAGUAGAAUUCUACCAGAGGAAACUCUGGUGGAAUCCGAAAUGAUUCUGAUGUGCAAAUCGAUGGUCUGAUUUGGAAUAGAGGGAAAAACUAAUCGAAGUACUAGCUGGUUCCCUCUGAAGUAUCCCUCAAGAUAGUUGAAAUACGUAAUGAAGCUGUUAUAUUCGGUAAAGCGAAUGAUUGGAGGAAUUGUGGGACGAAACGUCUUCAACCUAUUCUCAAACUUUCAAUGAGUAUGACGUCUUGCUUGCUUGAAUGAAGGGUAGAUGUUGGAUUUGCACUUCACGUACGUCAUUUUUGGUAAGUAGAAUUGACGCUAUGAGAUGAACCAAAUGUUAAUGCCAGGAUAAUUUCUCUCAUUUUAAUGCAGGAAUGGUCAAUAAUAGAAACUCGCCAGUUGGAAAAUAAUAGAAAUGUGC